AUGAACGCUGGCGGCGUGCCUCAUCCCUGCCAGUCGCGCGAACAGACGAGGAGCUUGCUCCUCUGACGUUAGCGGCGGACGGGUGAGUAACACGUGGAUAACCUACCUAUAAGACUGGGAUAACUUCGGGAAACCGGAGCUAAUACCGGAUAAUAUAUUGAACCGCAUGGUUCAAUAGUGAAAGACGGUUUUGCUGUCACUUAUAGAUGGAUCCGCGCCGCAUUAGCUAGUUGGUAAGGUAACGGCUUACCAAGGCAACGAUGCGUAGCCGACCUGAGAGGGUGAUCGGCCACACUGGAACUGAGACACGGUCCAGACUCCUACGGGAGGCAGCAGUAGGGAAUCUUACGCAAUGGGCGAAAGCCUGACGGAGCAACGCCGCGUGAGUGAUGAAGGUCUUCGGAUCGUAAAACUCUGUUAUUAGGGAAGAACAAAUGUGUAAGUAACUAUGCACGUCUUGACGGUACCUAAUCAGAAAGCCACGGCUAACUACGUG
rnacentral:rRNA from 1 species